AAAAAACAAAAAAACAAAUAAAAAAAACCUCCCCUCCGAUCUCUCGCCCUGCUCGCUCCGGUUCGUCCACUGCCCCGACAGCGACCCGGGAGUUGAUGAUCAGGCUGCCGGAGCUCGGAGACAAAAGACGGCGUGCUUUUUUUCUGUUGUGCUCUCGCUGCGCCGCGCCGCGCCGGACUUGUGUCAUUGUCGCCCUGCCGGAGUGCAGCGGACCGCGCGCCCCCGUCCUGCUCCGUGCGCUACGAGAGACGGGACAGUCCCGAUAUAUUUGCAACUUUUCUAAUCCGUACCAAAAAGAAGUCAAAAUGUUCAUUGGCGGCCUCAGUUGGCAGACGACACAAGAGGGUUUGAAGGAGUACUUUUGCAAGUUCGGUGAGGUGAAGGAGUGCAUGGUGAUGCGGGAUCCGGUUACGAAGCGCUCGAGGGGGUUCGGCUUUGUCACCUACGUCGACCAGGCCGGUGUGGAUAAAGUUUUGGCACAGACCAGGCAUGAGCUGGAUUCUAAAACCAUCGACCCAAAGGUGGCGUUUCCCCGGAGAGCUCAGCCCAAGAUGGUAACCCGAACCAAGAAGAUCUUCGUGGGGGGACUGUCCGUAAACACCACCAUCGAGGACGUGAAGCAGUAUUUCGACCAGUUCGGAAAGGUUGACGACGCCAUGCUCAUGUUUGACAAAACCACCAACAGACACCGAGGGUUUGGAUUUGUGACCUUCGAGAACGAGGACGUGGUGGAGAAAGUGUGCGAGAUCCAUUUCCACGAGAUCAACAACAAGAUGGUGGAAUGUAAGAAGGCCCAGCCAAAGGAAGUGAUGUCACCGACAGGCUCGGCGAGGAGCCGCUCCAGGGUGAUGCCCUAUGGCAUGGACGCCUUCAUGCUGGGGAUUGGCAUGCUGGGUUACCCAGGGUUCCAAGCGGCCACUUACGCCAGCCGCGGCUACACAGGCAUCACCCCCGGGUACACCUAUCAGUUUCCAGAAUUCCAUUUAGAGAGGACCCCCCUUCUGACAUCAUCCCACCCCCCCGAGAUCACAGCCAUUCCACUGACGGCAUACGGACCAAUGGCUGCGGCUGCAGCCGCGGCGGUAGUUCGAGGCUCCACCCCAUCCCGCACAGCAGGGUUUCUGGGCACUAGCAGCCCUGGACCAAUGGCAGACCUGUAUGCAGCAGCCAAUCAGGACUCUGGAGUCAGCAGUUACAUCAGCGCCGCAAGCCCGGCACCCAGCACCGGAUUUGGCCCCGGCCUUGGGGUACGAUUUUGUUCUUGCAUGACUGGAACUCGGAGUUGACUCUGGAGGCGUCCGCUGGGUGUCUGAGCCCCAGAGCACUGUGGCCCAUGCUGGGUGUCUGAGCCCCAGAGCGCUGUGGCCCAUGCUGGGUGUCCACUUCCGGCUCCACAGUCUGUUGGGUGUCCUGCCACCUGUGGGGAUAAGACGGCUCUUCCCUGUGUCCUGUAAUCUCACCUUCUUCUGAAGCAUAAGAAGCCAGCUUAGCUGCAUCUCCCAAACUGUGUUAAAAUCCUUUGAAGAGUAUGAGCUGCAUCCAGGCUAGACCUGACAGGAAAUCACUUAAUUCCUAGUUUGGGUCUCAGUCCUCUUUGAUGGAGGAACCAACAAACAGUCAGUGCCUUUAAUGGGAACGCCCUCUUACCUUCUAUGUCCAGCGGAGUGGAGAUGUUAUGUUUUGCUCACGAUUAAUUAAAUAUAAAUAUGUGUGGUAUAAAAAUUAAAAAUCAUGAGUGACUGCUACUUGAUAUUUGUUUUAAAAUCACCUUGAAGGUUGUUUGGAUGUUAUCUACGCCGUGCGCAGAUGCUUCAACAAGCCCCAACUUGACAAGGUGAUAAUUGGCUGGCAAGUCUAACUGCACGCACUUGCUGUGGGUUUAAUUUGAACCACAGGGCAGCCCUUGGGGUUUACUUCUGAAUCACCAGCACAUUGAGUUGUGCACCCCCUGCUGGGGAGGCGCUGUCCCUGCACAUCCUUAUGUAUGUUCUCCUCCCAGGGUCCUCUGAUUGCUACGGCCUUCACCAACGGCUACCACUGAAGAAGGGUCUCCUGUGUGGAACAUCAGAGAAGUAAAUGCUGCUUUGAGCCAGUGAGAAACGUUGGGUGUCUUCAUUAUGGCACACCCCGAAAGGCCACGCCAGCUGUCACAUGACCUCCCCCCACCCCUCACUCUGCCCCACCCCCAGUUCUACCCAAUGGCAGAAGAGCUUUUCCCACUUCCUGUUUCCUCUACUAACAUCACUACCUGCAUAACAUCCCUUGUUCACAUCCUCACCUACGUAGGUUUAAUCUGUUUUUAAGGUGGCCAGUCUGCCACAUCAACUUUGUUCGAGCGAACAAAAAAACAUGGAACAAAAAAGUUUUUUGUUUUUUUUUUUAAAAAAGAUUGUAAUUUUAUUUAGAAGAGAAGCACCUGCUUUUGUUG